CAAGAAUCUUGGGAAUUUGAUUAUGGUGAAGGGAACUCUACUGGAGUGAAAGGAAUUAAAACCAAGAAGAAAACAGUCUCAGGUAAAAAGUUGAAAGGUGGGUUAGAGAAGACUUCAAGGAAAAGAAAAGCAUCGAGCAAAACAAAUCAAGCUUCAACGAUUGGUGUAGAUCAAACUAUUUCCAGCAUGGCCAUCGUACAAUGUGACCGGAUCAAUCAACAAUCUAUUAAUUUCUCAUCAAUUGGUAGCU